rnacentral:rRNA from 1 species
UACGUAGGAGGCGAGCGUUAUCCGGAUUUAUUGGGCGUAAAGAGCGCGCAGGCGGUCUUGCAAGUCGGAUGUAAAAUCUCCUGGCUCAACUGGGAGGGGCCAUUCGAAACUGCUAGACUUGAGGGCAGCAGAGGGAGGUGGAAUUCCCGGUGUAGUGGUGAAAUGCGUAGAUAUCGGGAGGAACACCAGUGGCGAAAGCGGCCUCCUGGGCUGUACCUGACGCUGAGGCGCGAAAGCGUGGGGAG